rnacentral:rRNA from 1 species
UACAGAGGUGGCAAGCGUUGUUCGGAAUUAUUGGGCGUAAAGGGCGCGUAGGCGGCACUGUUAGUCAGGCGUGAAAUUCCUGGGCUCAACCUGGGGACUGCGCUUGAUACGGCAGAGCUUGAGGAUGGAAGAGGGUCGCGGAAUUCCCAGUGUAGAGGUGAAAUUCGUAGAUAUUGGGAAGAACACCGGUGGCGAAGGCGGCGACCUGGUCCAUUACUGACGCUGAGGCGCGACAGCGUGGGGAGCAAACAGG